rnacentral:tRNA from 1 species
GCUGGCAUGGCUCAGUGGUUGAGCAUAGACCUAUGAACCAGAAUGUCAUGGGUUCUAUUCCCAUUCAGAGCA